rnacentral:rRNA from 1 species
UGGGGAAUAUUGCGCAAUGGGCGAAAGCCUGACGCAGCAACGCCGUGUGAGGGAUGAAGGCUUUCGGGUCGUAAACCUCUGUCAGAAGGGAAGAACGGGCAUUGGUCUAAUAGGCCUUUGUUUUGACGGUACCUUCAGAGGAAGCACCGGCUAACUCCGUGCCAGCAGCCGCGGUAAUACGGAGGGUGCAAGCGUUAUUCGGAAUUACUGGGCGUAAAGCGCACGUAGGCCGCUUUGUAAGUCAGGGGUGAAAUCCCACGGCUCAACCGUGGAACUGCCCUUGGAACUGCGAAGCUUGAAUCCUGGAGAGGGUGCGGAAUUCCUGGUGUAGGAGUGAAAUCCGUAGAUAUCAGGAGGAACACCGGUGGCGAAGGCGGCCACCUGGACAGGUAUUGACGC